UGGGGAAUUUUGGACAAUGGGCGAAAGCCUGAUCCAGCAAUGCCGCGUGUGUGAAGAAGGCCUUCGGGUUGUAAAGCACUUUUGUCCGGAAAGAAAUCCUUGGCUCUAAUACAGUCGGGGGAUGACGGUACCGGAAGAAUAAGCACCGGCUAACUACGUGCCAGCAGCCGCGGUAAUACGUAGGGUGCAAGCGUUAAUCGGAAUUACUGGGCGUAAAGCGUGCGCAGGCGGUUUGCUAAGACCGAUGUGAAAUCCCCGGGCUCAACCUGGGAACUGCAUUGGUGACUGGCAGGCUAGAGUAUGACAGAGGGGGGUAGAAUUCCACGUGUAGCAGUGAAAUGCGUAGAGAUGUGGAGGAAUACCGAUGGCGAAGGCAGCCCCCUGGGCCAAUACUGACGCUCAUGCACGAAAGCGUGGGGAGCAAACAGGAUUAGAUACCCUGGUAGUCCACGCCCUAAACGAUGUCAACUAGUUGUUGGGGAUUCAUUUCCUUAGUAACGUAGCUAACGCGUGAAGUUGACCGCCUGGGGAGUACGGUCGCAAGAUUAAAACUCAAAUGAAUUGACGGGGUCAUAGCUGUUUCCU
rnacentral:rRNA from 1 species